rnacentral:rRNA from 1 species
UACGGGGGGGGCAAGCGUUGUUCGGAAUUACUGGGCGUAAAGGGCGCGUAGGCGGUUGGAUAAGUCAGCUGUGAAAACCACGGGCUUAACUCGUGGCCUGCAGUUGAGACUGUCUGGCUUGAGUCCGGAAGAGGCGAGUGGAAUUCCUGGUGUAGCGGUGGAAUGCGCAGAUAUCAGGAGGAACACCAAUAGCGAAGGCAGCUCGCUGGGACGGUACUGACGCUAAGGCGCGAAAGCGUGGGGAGCGAACAGG